rnacentral:sRNA from 3 species
AUAUCUCUCUGUACGGGAAGGAUGAGAAGCUUCGACUAAGGUUCGAUUCGAGCGAAAGCGAGAAAGCGUUGCCGUAGGCAACGACCCGAAGGGCGAAGCGCGCAGCGCUGAGUAAUCCUUCCCCCGUCAUCC